rnacentral:rRNA from 1 species
AUUGAACGCUGGCGGCAUGCCUAACACAUGCAAGUCGAACGGAAACGGGCCUUCGGGGGCCGACGAGUGGUGGACGGGGGCGGAAGACAAAGGAACGUGCCCGAUCGCGGGGGAAAACGAGGCGAAAGCUGAGCCAAGAGCGCAUACGGUCUACGGAUGAAAGCAGGGGGGCGCAAAGGUGAGCGCGGAUGGUGCGGCCGCUGGCAGAUGAGGCCGUUGGUGAGGUAAAAGCUUACCAAGCCGACGAUCUGUAGCUGGUCUGAGAGGAUGAUCAGCCACACUGGGACUGAGACACGGCCCAGACUCCUACGGGAGGCAGCAGUGGGGAAUUUUGGACAAUGGGCGCAAGCCUGAUCCAGCCAUGCCGCGUGCAGGAUGAAGGCCUUCGGGUUGUAAACUGCUUUUGUACGGAACGAACAGCCUUCUUUUAAUCCGGGCGGGUCAUGACGGUACCGUAAGAAUAAGCCCCGGCUAACUACGUG